CUGCGUGCAUCGCGCACAUGUCGCGCAGACAUGCUAGAUUUGCCUACGAUCGCAGUGUUCUAGAAGUUGUACUACGAUCCUGGAUCUGUCGGCUGCGUUACCUUUUUCUCUUUCACGUGUGUACAGUAGCGCAAGAAUGAUCACGCACGCAAAAGUGCGGUAUGAGGAUGAUCGAAAACUUGCGGUUGUGGACAUUCGAGACAUAGAAAACUUCCAUCCCGAGAACGCGAAGGAUUUCAAAUCGAAGUUCUUUUAUUCGGUGAAAUGGACCGAUCCGGACGGGACCUCGGACUUUUACCGGGCUCGGAUUCUAGCUCUGGGAGAAUCAGAAGAAGACCUGGAGGCGGAGGGAAGAGGCCGGCAGAGGCUUAGAUUUGAAAGAAUGGCAUAUUCGCCUGACGGCGAAGAUGAAGACGAUGAUGUCGAGCCAGAGCGUCCUGCAAAAAAGCCCUCUGGCCCAAAGCAGGAGCUAUUGGACAUGUUAAAAAAAAAAACUGACGACAUCCAGCAAAGGGAAGAAGCUGCUUUAAAGAAGCAGAAAAAGAGGCCAACAUAUGACGAUAGGGGUGGCCUAGUCACUGAGCUGAAGUACAAGGUACAGAGACUUGAAGGCCUUGUGGAAAGAAAGUGCAAAAAAAAUUGAGGAACUGCGAAACAAAAACGAAGAGUUGGAGCAGGAGGCCAUGAAGCUGAGGCAGCUGAACAUGAGGCUGCAGGAAAAAAUGCUGACAGCCAUAGAUGAAGGCACAGGCUACAGUAGAGCUUCGUGCUCCACUAAGAGCGGACCAGACCACUCGACGAGGGAAGUGGAUAUUGACAGCAUGGACGUGAUUCCUAGGGAGAAAACACCGCCACAGGAUGAUUACGCAAGAAAAGAGAAUGCCAUGGUAACGUCCACAUCUGAAGGGCAGCUUCAGCAAUUUUUAGUAUUACGUA
rnacentral:misc_RNA from 1 species